AGUGACACAUAGGCAGGGA
rnacentral:piRNA from 1 species